rnacentral:sRNA from 1 species
CGGCAAGUGGAGGCGCUGGAGCGAGCGGCCCGGGAGAAGGAGGCGCUAGCCAAGGAGCGUGCUGGCCUGGCUGUGCAGCUGGUGGCUGCGGAGCGUGAAGGCAGGACCCUGUCAGAGGAGGCCACACGCCUGCGCUUGGAGAAGGAAGCCCUGGAGGGCAGCCUGUUUGAGGUGCAACGGCAGCUGGCCCAGCUUGAGGCCCGCCGGGAGCAGCUGGAAGCCGAGGGGCAGGCCCUGCUGCUGGCCAAGGAGACCCUGACUGGGGAGUUGGCGGGCCUGCGGCAGCAAAUAAUAGCUACACAGGAGAAAGCCAGUCUAGACAAGGAGCUGAUGGCCCAGAAGCUGGUGCAGGCUGAGCGGGAGGCCCAGGCCUCUCUGCGGGAGCAGCGGGCAGCCCACGAGGAGGACUUACAGCGACUCCAGCGUGAAAAGGUUCAGGCAGCUGGGGAGGGGUGGGCAGGACUCUGAGCCAGUGUUUCAUCAUCGUUCUUGCUCUGCCUCGGUCUCUACAUCUGUGAAAUGGGACUUCCUAUCUGUUGUGGAGGCCCUGGGGACAGCUAGGAGGACUGGGGGGAUGGGGAGGUUGUGGUUCUUAUUAGACAUGCAGAUUCCCAGGUCCCAAAUCUGGUCCAGCCCUGGUAAUCCUGA